rnacentral:rRNA from 1 species
GACGAACGCUGGCGGCGUGCCUAAUACAUGCAAGUCGAACGAGAGCGACCGGUGCUUGCACUGGUCAAUCUAGUGGCGAACGGGUGAGUAACACGUGGGUAACCUGCCCAUCAGAGGGGGAUAACAUCCGGAAACGGAUGCUAAAACCGCAUAGGUCUUCGAACCGCAUGGUUUGAAGAGGAAAAGAGGCGCAAGCUUCUGCUGAUGGAUGGACCCGGGGUGCAUUAGCUAGUUGGUGAGGUAACGGCUCACCAAGGCCGUGAUGCAUAGCCGACCUGAGAGGGUGAUCGGCCACAUUGGGACUGAGACACGGCCCAAACUCCUACGGGAGGCAGCAGUAGGGAAUCUUCCGCAAUGGACGCAAGUCUGACGGAGCAACGCCGCGUGAGUGAAGAAGGUUUUCGGAUCGUAAAACUCUGUUGUUAGAGAAGAACAAGUGCUAGAGUAACUGUUAGCGCCUUGACGGUAUCUAACCAGAAAGCCACGGCUAACUACGUG